rnacentral:rRNA from 1 species
ACGCUAGUUCUCAUGGAGCCGCCCUUGAAAUACCACCCUGUUGUUAUUGAGGUUCUAACUUGGUCCAGUAAUCCUGGAUGAGGACAGUGUAUGAUGGGUAGUUUGACUGGGGCGGUCUCCUCCCAAAGAGUAACGGAGGAGCACAAAGGUACCCUCGGUACGGUCGGACAUCGUACCAAGAGUGUAAAGGCAAAAGGGUGCUUGACUGCGAGAGUGACGGCUCGAGCAGGAACGAAAGUUGGUCUUAGUGAUCCGGUGGUUCUGAAUGGAAGGGCCAUCGCUCAACGGAUAAAAGGUACUCCGGGGAUAACAGGCUGAUACCGCCCAAGAGUUCAUAUCGACGGCGGUGUUUGGCACCUCGAUGUCGGCUCAUCACAUCCUGGGGCUGAAGCAGGUCCCAAGGGUAUGGCUGUUCGCCAUUUAAAGUGGUACGCGAGCUGGGUUUAGAACGUCGUGAGACAGUUCGGUCCCUAUCUGCCGUGGGCGUAGGAAAAUUGAGAGGAGCUGCUCCUAGUACGAGAGGACCGGAGUGGACGAACCUCUGGUGCACCGGUUGUCACGCCAGUGGCAUGGCCGGGUAGCUAAGUUCGGACGGGAUAACCGCUGAAAGCAUCUAAGCGGGAAGCCUCCCUCAAGAUGAGUUUUCCCAUGAAGCCCGUUGAAGACUACGACGUUGAUAGGCAAGGUGUGGAAGCGCAGUAAUGCGUGAAGCUAACUUGUACUAAUUGGCUGAUUGUCUUGACCAUAUAAUCUGAG